UGUAAGCCAGGUCGGUUUCUAUCUUUAAUUAAUUAAAAUAUUUUAGUACGAAAGGACCCAAUAUUUAAUAUAAUAAUAUUUUAUUAUUUGAAUAUUAAUAAAAU
rnacentral:rRNA from 1 species